CUCAUAUAUUUAUUUAUUUAAAUUUAUUACGAUUUUUAUUUUUAUUAAUUUUAAUUAUUUCGGUUUGUUUAUAUUUAUUGUUUGUGAGCUACCUUAAUGUUUACUUAAAUUGUCUUAUUUACCAAUUGUAUGAUCAUUGUUGUUUGGUUCAUUUGUCCGUUAGGAUUUUUUUAUAUUGUUUUAUAUUCCCUUUUGUUCAUAUUUGUUUACGAACUAAUCGCACUUUUUGUCCCUAAAUUAUACUGCAGUAUUUUCGUUCAGUUUAUUUAUUUGGAAAUGAACUGUUGUAAUAGUACAUAAACAAAAAGAAAUUUGUAGGCUCAGUAAUAACUGGCUUUAGAAUUAAAAUUUAGUUUGUUGGGGAUAAAGACUGCGGUAAGUCGCUUAAUAUAUUUAUAAGUUAUUUUUUGUAAUAAGUUCUUUUUUUAGAAAUAAACGGUUGCUCAAGUAUAUGCAUCAUUAAUUGUAAAUUUGUGGUUCAUUUAUUUGAGACUGGUUAAAUUCGCUGUCCUCAACAUAUAGGCUCAGGUCGCAGCCAGCGACAAAUUUUAUUUCGCACUCUAUGAGCGAACUUGUGGUUCCUUGCCUGCCGGAACAAAUUUUAUUUCGCAAUUUUUUGAGCGAUCUUGUGGUUCCUUGCCCGUCGGAACAAAUUAUAUUUCGCAACCUUUGAGCGAACUUGUGGUUCCUUGCCUGCCGGAACAUUUUACUUGUACUUUAUGUGAAUUUGUGGUUCCAAGCUGCCGGAACAAAUAUAAAUAAUUGUGAAGCCGUCCCAUGCCUGCCGGUACAAGUGUUUAAACUAAAGUAUGAAAUUUUUGUGGUUCCUUACACGCCGGAACGAGUAAAACUUUAAGCUGAAUUUUUGUGAAAUUGUAACCUGUCCUGCUGGAACAAAUUGUGUUUUUUAUUUGUGAUAAAUUGUGUGAUUCCUUGGCUGCCGGAGCAAUUAAAUUUUAAUCUGCAGUGAAUAGCAAUUAAUUUGUGAAUUUGAGAAGCCCCAAGCCUGCCGGAACAAAUUAAUUUUGUGUUGCUGUUUAAUAUUUGUGAAUUUGUGUGCCCUUUGAAAAUAUUUGUGAUUCAAGAUGCAACGGUCGCCAUCUAGAAAAAGCUCUCGUUUGCAAACAGCAACGAGCCAAAAUGUGAAUAGUUCCACGCCUGCCGGAACAAAUAGUUUAGUAAAUGUUUCUCAAAUGCCGUCGGUACAAAAUGUCAGUUCUGUUGCCCUCGGAACAACGGUAACUAGUGCCUCUAUAAGUGCCCCUAGAGAACCGACACCUGCUGUAUCAACGCAAAACAUUUUCAGUUCAACAAGUGAAGAGCCCUUUAGUCUGCCGCCGUUAGUGCCCGGUCCUAAUGUGAGAACCCAGCCACCACAAACCAUAUCGUCUGAUAAUGAGAACCUGCAACGACAAAUUGAUAUCCUGCAAGCUCAAUUGGCAAACGCUCAACGUGCUUUAAGAGCAAAUCAAAAUUUAAAUACGCCGAAUGUUAUUGGACAUAAUGCGCCAGUCAUCCAAAGUAUUAGCAGUGGCCCUGAGAACAUGGUUGAUCGCCGGAAUCCAACGCCAUAUUCCUAUGUUAGUCAGUCAGACCAGUUGAUGACAUCUCAGCCUCUUAUUGUUUCCCCUGCUACAGUGCCCAUGCCAGUACAACGCAAACUUUAUGAUCUGCCCGAAUUUUGUGGUACUCCCGAGGACUGGCCAAUGUUUUUGUCUGCCCUUGAACAUUCGACAGCGGCAUAUUCGUACAAUAAUUUUGAAAAUUGUUUGAGAUUGCAGAAGGCUUUGAAAGGUGAAGCCAGAGAGUGCGUGAAGUCGUUGCUCAUCCACCCAAAUAAUGUGCCAACGGUUAUAGAGCAAUUAAAGCUACAAUAUGGUCGCCCAGAGUUGCUUAUUCGAUGUCAAUUGCAACAGAUGAAGGAAGUUCAGCCCAUAGCAGAAAACGCAAUCGAUAAAUUGGUGCCGUAUUCCAUUAAGGUCAGAAAUUUAGCAGCGUUUUUGGAAUCUGCCAAUGGUUAUCAACAUUUGUCGAAUCCAACACUCAUGGAGGAGUUAGUACAGAAGCUGCCAAUGAGCAAACGUUUGGAUUGGGCCCAGUUUGCUUCAACUUUACCUCAGUUGCCGACUAUUUUGGAUUAUAGUACCUGGCUCCAGCGUGUUGCAAAUUUGGUAAGAAGUGUGCAAAUAAGCAGUUCAAGUGGCAAUAGAUCUAGCAGUGAUCCAAAACGAAAAGUGGUUUUAUAUGCUUCUGAUGGCCCAGAACGUCAGUUAAAAUGUUUUUAUUGUGUUGGCCCACAUAAAAUUUUUGAUUGUAAGAAAUUUUUAGAAUUGAGUGUGCCUAAUAGAUGGAGUGAAGUGAAGAGAUUGAAGUUAUGUUUUUCGUGUCUCAGUGGUGGCCAUUCAAGUAAAGAUUGUCGUCGGCGUAAGCAGUGUCCAGUGGAAAAGUGCCAAAGAAAUCACAAUAAAUUACUGCAUGAAACUAAACCUAAGGAACCAAGUGAACGAUCCGUAAAUGUGCCGCCAACAGAGAGAACUUCAACAGUCGAGCCAGUGCUUAGUUGUGUUUCCAGUGUUAGUGAAAGAAGUGAUUUGUUGUUCAGAGUGCUCCCAGUGGUUCUUUAUGGACCAAAUUGUGCUAUUGAAACUUAUGCACUCCUAGAUGAAGGUUCUUCGGUCACGAUGAUGGAUAGCUCUUUAGUGAGACAGCUUGGACUGCAUGGUCGACAAAGUCAAUUGAAUUUGAGUUGGUAUGGUGGUAAAUCGGCACAAGAACCAGUUAUGGUGGUGGAUCUUCAUGUGAGCGGUGUUAAUAAGAAGAGGAAAUAUGCUUUGAAAAAUGUGUAUGGUGUCUCGAAUUUGAAGUUGCCUAGUCAGAGUUUUAAUGCGGAUUUAGUAAAGAAUCAUGGUGUGCCUUUAAACUCAUAUGAAUGUGUGGCUCCAAAGGUACUAAUUGGAUUGGACCAUUGCCAUUUAGGAUUGCCCGAUGAAAUAGUCCCUUUGGAAGAUGCUGGUCCAUAUGCUGCCAAUACUCCUCUUGGAUGGGUUGUUUUUGGAAACGUGAAAGGAGGUCGCCCUGGAACCCAAACAUGUUUGCUGACACAGUUGGAUAAUUUAAAUAAUUUGGUGGCAAAUUAUUUUGAAACUGAAAAUUUUGGUGUUAAGGCUCUACCAGUGAUUGAGUCAAGAGAUGAUUUACGUGCACGAGAGAUAUUGAGAAAUUCUACGAAGAGGGUUGCCGGAAGAUUUGAAUCCAGACUACUAUGGUGUAAUGAUGACGUAGUCCUGCCGGAUAGCUAUUCCAUGGCCCUUAAUAGAUUUUUUGGAAUGGAAAGAAAAAUGAAAAAUAAUCCUGAAUUUGGUGCGGCCUAUAAACAAAUAAUGAGUGAAUAUUUGCAGAAGCGGUAUGUACGCAAAUUAUCAUUGAGUGAAGUCGAUACAUUUCAUCCGAGAACAUGGUACUUGCCCCACUUUGGUGUCGUAAACCCUAAUAAGCCAGGGAAGAUUCGUAUGGUGUUCGAUGCAGCAGCAAAGGUGGAAGGUGUCUCGUUGAAUUCAAAGUUAUUGAAAGGCCCUCAGCAAUACAAAUCGUUGCCAUCAGUUUUAUUUAAUUUUAGAAUCGGUUCCGUAGCUGUUUGUGGGGACAUAAAGGAAAUGUUUCAUCAAGUUGUUGUUGCUGAGGAAGACAGGUGUUCGCAGAGGUUCUUGUGGCGAGAUGAUGCUAGUGGUCCACCGGAAGUGUAUGAGAUGCUUGUGAUGACGUUUGGAGCUGCCUGUUCGCCCUGUAUUGCCCAUUAUGUGAAGGAAAUACAUAAAGUUGCUGGUUUUGAAAUGCUCAGGAGACAUAGUGUACUUUGGGACGAGAUGUUGCCCAUUGUUGCGUCAUUACAAGCGAUGUGGAAUAAAUGGCGCCAAGAGCUAAGAAAUGUUGUCCAUGUAAAGGUUCCACGAUUUUAUUUUGGAAAUGGUUUGCCCUUGGAGUUAGAGCUGCAUAUUUUUGUUGAUGCCAGUGAAGAUGUUUGGAAAUGGUUGCCUACAGUUCUCAAUGUUGCCGAUGAUACUACAAGAGCUGAAAAUAAAGUUGAUUUUUCCAUUGAAACACGUUGGUUCCAAGGGCCACAAUUUUUGUAUGAAAACGAAGCUGACUGGCCGAAUAAGAAUUCUGAGAAAUCUGAUGAUUUGUGUGAAGAAGAACUACGCCCCAAAUUUGUUAUGCUGGUUAGUACAAAUUUAGUUAUUGAUUUUAAUCGUUUUUCUUCAUUUCUCAGGCUUAAACGAACAAUGGCUUGGGUUCUGAGAUUUAUCAAUCGCUGCCGAAAAUAUGAUAAAUGUAAUGGUUCGAGAUGCCUGUGUGCUGAAGAGUUAAGGGUUGCUGAAACUAGUCUGUGUCGUCUGUCCCAAGAAGAGUGUUUCGCCUUUGAAAUAAACGUUUUAAAAUCUGAUGGUUCUUUAAAAAAGGAUAACGUGUUAUUUUCCCUUUCGCCAUAUUUUGAUGAAAAUAAUUUACUUCGAGUGAGCGGUCGUAUUGAUGCUGCGAGUUGGUUGCCUUUAGAUGCCAGGCACCCCAUUAUUUUGUCGCCCUGUCACCGCUUUACACAACUAUUUGUUGCCCAUGUGCAUAAUAAAAUGAGACAUCAAAAUUUUGAGGCUACCAUAGGCGAAAUAAGGAAAAGAUUCUGGAUUCCACGACUUCGAAAUCUGUUGAGUAAGACCACAUCAAAUUGCAACAUUUGUAAGAUUCGUCGUGCUGUUCCAGUAGCUCCUUUUAUGGGAUCGUUGCCAAGUGAUAGACUAACUCCAUAUGUCCGGCCAUUUACUUAUACUGGUGUUGACUAUUUUGGCCCAUUAAAUGUGACUGUUGGUAGACGCCAUGAAAAACGUUGGGUUGCCCUGUUUACGUGCCUUACAAUCAGAGCUGUACAUUUAGAAGUGGCCUAUGAUCUAUCUACUGAUUCGUGUAUUUUGGCUAUACGGAAUUUUAUAAAUCGUCGUGGCACCCCGUUGAAGAUUCGGAGUGAUAACGGAAAGAAUUUUGUUGGAGUUAACCAAGAAGCCCAGCGAUUUGAUGAAGUAUUUGAUCUGGUUAAAAUUGAAGAUGAGUUGUCCACAAGGGGCAUUGAAUGGCAGUUUAAUUGUCCACAUAAUCCUGCAGAAGGUGGAAUAUGGGAGCGAAUGGUUCAAUGUGUUAAAAAGGUUUUAAGAGUAACCCUAAAAGAAGUCGCCCCAAAAGAGCACACCUUGCAAAGUUUUUUAAUUGAAGCCGAAAACAUCGUGAACUCUCGCCCAUUGACUCACUUGCCUGUCAGUCCGGAAGACGAAGAACCAUUGACGCCUAAUCAUUUCUUGUUGGGUUCUGCAAAUACGGCUCAAACGCCAGAAGGUAUUGAAAUUAUAAAGCCAGUGGUACUGAAGAAGCAGUGGCGAAUUGCUCGACAGCUACGAGAUCAUUUUUGGAAAAGAUGGAUUGUGGAAUAUUUGCCCACACUUACAAGACGGUCCAAAUGGUGCGAACAUACGAAGCCUGUGGCCCCGGGAGAUCUUGUACUAAUUUGUGAUCCAGCUGUUUCCCGCCGAGAUUGGAAGAGAGGUCGUGUCGUAAAUGUGUUUCCUGGCAGUGAUGGUGUAAUCCGAAGAGCUGAUGUCCAAACAAGUAGUGGAAUACUUAAACGCCCAGUUUCCAAACUAGCAGUCCUUGAUUUGGAGUAGUGAAUCGUUGCCGAUCCACGGGGGUGGGAAUGUCGCCGAUGGCUCAUAUAUUUAUUUAUUUAAAUUUAUUACGAUUUUUAUUUUUAUUAAUUUUAAUUAUUUCGGUUUGUUUAUAUUUAUUGUUUGUGAGCUACCUUAAUGUUUACUUAAAUUGUCUUAUUUACCAAUUGUAUGAUCAUUGUUGUUUGGUUCAUUUGUCCGUUAGGAUUUUUUUAUAUUGUUUUAUAUUCCCUUUUGUUCAUAUUUGUUUACGAACUAAUCGCACUUUUUGUCCCUAAAUUAUACUGCAGUAUUUUCGUUCAGUUUAUUUAUUUGGAAAUGAACUGUUGUAAUAGUACAUAAACAAAAAGAAAUUUGUAGGCUCAGUAAUAACUGGCUUUAGAAUUAAAAUUUAGUUUGUUGGGGAUAAAGACUGCGAAAUAAACGGUUGCUCAAGUAUAUGCAUCAUUAAUUGUAAA